rnacentral:lncRNA from 1 species
CCCCGCCAGUGGGUAAAAGUAACUUGGCUUUACGAUCCCCGCCAGUGGGUAAUAGUAACUGGAAGAUGAUCCUGCAGUGGUAAAGGCCUUACCGUGGGAAUAAGAGCGGCCAUAGCUACACUACCAUCUGGGAGUAUGAAUUUUGAAGUAUGAAAUAAUGGCAAAAGUUUUAUGAUGCAUAAUUAUAUUUAUGAAGUUGCAUGAAUGGACUUACAUAGUUUUAUGACUGGUUGGAUUAUAUGAAAUGUUUACUUUAUUACAAGCACAGAUUUCAAUGCAUGAAUAAUAACAGCACAUAUUUCAAAGCAUGAAUAAUGAUAAGAAUAAUGAUGAGUACGGAUUUCAAAGCAUGGAAUAAAGACAAAAGGUUUACGUCUG